GACGAACUGUGCAAACGUUAUUCGGAAUCACUGGGCUUGAAGAGUGCGUAGGCGGUUUUGUAAGUAGGGUGUGAAAGCCCCCGGCCCAACCGGGGAAUUGCGCCCUAAACUGCAAGGCUGGAGUGAGGUAGGGGUGUGUGGAACUUCCAGUGGAGCGGUGAAAUGUGUUGAUAUUGGAAGGAACGCCGGUGGCGAAAGCGACACACUGGACCUUGUCUGACGCUGAGGCACGAAAGCCAGGGGAGCAAACGGGAUUAGAAACCCCAGUAGUCC
rnacentral:rRNA from 1 species